GAAAAUGCUAGAGUACUAGCAUACUAACUUCCUCUUAGAUGUCAGACCGAUCGUCAUUUGUUUGUUGUCUAUCCUACUUAGUAGACUAGACUCUAGUAGGCUACUAGGAUAGAUCUAGAAAAGUAGUAGACUAUGUUCUAGACUAGACCUCCAUUUGAUAAUUAAAUCAUUAUGAUGUCCUUGUUCAGACAUCCUCCAAGAUGGCAGGAAAUGGAUGUGUAAAUAGUUUAAACUCAAGACUACUAUAAUGACAGUUCAAAGAACGUAUUUGAAAAAAAAAAAAAUUAACGAAAAUCUAUCUGCUACUGGUAUUCAAAUUGCCAAAUAAGCUUAAUUUAGUAUAUUUUUAAUCAUCCCCACCCCCCAUCCAUUUUAAUUAUGUACAGUACCAGUACCUCCUGUAAUAUUUACCUGAUUUAACUGUUAACGUCUGCAUGGCAAGUUAAAAUGUAAAUUGAAAACAUUUAGAUUUACAAAAGAAUGUGAUAAUUUAAGUGUUUCAGGUUCUGGUUGCUGAAAUUUUCUGUAGGGGCAAAAGCAUUGGUUGGUUAUGCAGCUUGAAAUAGCCUCACAAAGUCACAAGACAGGAUUAAAAAAAAAAAAAACAGCAACUUUGAAAAUUGGUUGUUGAUUAAAUAAAUUAUUACCUUACUUUAGAAUAUUUU